UACGGCACAGUUUGAGGUGGACACGUGGUGCAGUAUGAUAGUGGAAUAAGCUGCAUCACGUGUGACCUCCAUACACCGUGCUGUA